rnacentral:rRNA from 1 species
UACGAAGGGGGCUAGCGUUGCUCGGAAUUACUGGGCGUAAAGCGCACGUAGGCGGUCUUUUAAGUCGGGGGUGAAAUCCUGGAGCUCAACUCCAGAACUGCCUCGAUACUGGAAGACUCGAGUCCGGGAGAGGUGAGUGGAACUGCGAGUGUAGAGGUGAAAUCGUAGAUAUUCGCAAGAACACCAGUGGCGAAGGCGGCUUACUGGUCCGGUACUGACGCUGAGAGACGAAAGCUAGGGGAGCGAAUGGG